CGGCAUGCCUCCCCAGUGAUGUAAGGCUGAAUAAAGAAAAGCUUGGAAUAAAAGUAAAUAUAAAUGAUUAUUUUUUCUGUCUCAUCUCUGAAGCCUUUUUCCAUGUCCAGUCUAGAUUAGUUUUGCAGUUUUAGAUCAUGCAUUCCCUCCAUCGUGCAAUUUAAUACAUUUAAUCUGUGGAAGAUGUUGAUGUCCAAGCAACAAAUAGGCAUAUCCUUGAUGUAAAGGCCAGCUCUCUUCUGAAACCUCUUCCUGACUCCUGUGAUGUUCUGCAGAGCGGUGGGACCGGGGAGAGCUGCAGCGCCGGGAGGUCGCACGCACCGCGACUGCUCGGUGACAGGCGUAACGGAUCGUGACUCAGCUGGGGAAAAUACAGCUAAAUAGGCUGUGGCUCAAAAUAGUUGACUGUGACAGAGAAAUCCAUGCAAAGCUAAUUGAGAAUAUGAUGCUAUGCCCACAAAGCCUGUUAGGCUUAUAUCCAAAUAUAUGAACUGUACCUAAAGCCAGCAGGAUUGUGCUGGUUCUGAAUGGCAUUCGCUCUGCACUGAGUAUUUUGCAGAUGAUAGAAACGAGGAACAAUUUGAAAUCUGCUUGGUAGACUCAGGGAGUGUCAUUCUAGGUCACAGCUUGGCUCAGCACUGUGCACCAUUGCUCCAGCUUCGCUGUAGCCUGGCGUUAACAUUUCAGUCUUCAGAAGAAUGGAAGCCGUAGAGGAUUGGAUUUAAGAAUGUAUUUUUUUUCCCCAUUCAUUGUCGUGAUUUGAAAGUUGAGAGACAGGUGGAAUGAUGGCAGGUGUUGGUUUGUUUAGGGGAGGGUUCUUCUUAGUUCAGUUUUGUUUUUUUUUUUUUUUUUGUGGCCAAGAAUCCUUUCUGUUGCUCUUCUCUAAUGCUUGGCUCAGAGAACACGGGAUGGAAAGAAAUUGCAUUUGGUCAACAAAAAUAGGAAAGUGUUCUAGGAGACUUGCAGUGGAGUGACAUUACCUUGUGAUGUAAACAGUUCGUGUGAAACAGCUCUCAACUAUAGAAAGUGGUUCUGUGCCAAGAAGUGCCUGCAACAUUCAAACACGCCCUCCGGCCCAGUUACACGCAGUUCUGAUUGCAAAGUAGCUUUAUUUGGAUAACUCCACUGCAGCUGAAAAGGAUUUGGGUCACAGGAGAAACGAGGUGCUGUUAGGAAAUGGCUGAGACAGCAGGCAGCAAAAGCAGGGGGAUGGACAGCGUUAUUUUUCAAGAAAAGCUUUCUAGGUUGUCAGUUGCUCUGCGCUGUUAGGUGAGAGCUCUUUAGCAAGACUUUAUCAUCUUUGUUGUUUUUUUUUUUUUUUGCUGCCCUUUCUCAGAAGGUGGAAAUGGGAUGUGCUUUGUCUACAGAUGCAGUUCCACAGCCCGUGGGCUCCUGACAAUGGAGAUUUCCCUGUGAAAAUACUCGUGUAACCCUGUGCCGCAAACAGAGGUGAAACCAGGAAAAUCCAGAAGAGAGAAAAGGGGAAGGAUGGUGGAGAGGGGUGAAGAGAAGUGGAGCUGAAAGCAGAUCACUGUACAGAGAAGGACAAGGCAGAAAAUAGCAGCGUGAGCUCCCAAGCGGUGGGAGGAGGUUGACGCUUUGCUCAUCGAUACAGUCCGAUGUUGAAGUCACAUGGAAAUAGAAAUAAUCUGCUUUGGUGGUGGCAGCUGCCCCUCUGCGUGUACGGCCGUGGCCUGAGCACGCGGCGCUCUGCAGCCCCCGCUCCUGCUGCCUGCCUGCAGCGAGAGGCAUCUGUGUGCUGACACAGCGAUUGUUCGCCUCGGUUAGUUAGGGCCUGCGUGGAACUCUUUGUUUCGCUGAGGCAUUUAAAGCAGGCUGCUUUCUCUCCGUUUAAUCUUGCAGGGGAAAGUGUGUAAAAUGGACAAUAAAAGGUAAUGAUACUAAGUGUCGUCUGGGCACGUUAGGAAGUCAGCGUGACGGGGAGGAAAGGAAACUUGUUUGUCAUGAACGUGCUUUAUCUGAGAAUAAAAGUUACGGGGGGUUUUGCUACUGCUUAAAACCUUAGAUGCAGUACUAGGGGUCUCAGACAAAACCUUUCCUAUGGUCGGCGAGGACAUGCUUUAAGAAAUCCUUUCGGGGUAUGGAUAGGAAUAUUGCGGAACCAGCUUGGGUGGGUUUGGCUUGGAUCUUGGUGACAGUGAAUGUCACAAAACCCAGUAUGGUCACCAGCUCUAAUGUUUUCUGUUUGCCAUUCUCAGGUGGGAAAGUUUAUUUUCACAGCAGAAAUGAAAUUUCCCCUUGCUUGAAAGAGCACCUCUUACGCCAUCCCCCUCUCAUUAGCAAGGACACUGGAACUGCAGUUGGGUGGUAAGGAUAUUUUUUCACCCAGAAGCACAGCAAGACUCAGCAAUUAAUUUCUUAGAGGGCCACAAGACUGUCAUCAGGUAGUCUUAGCCCUUGAUCUUGAUUUCUUUAGCCACCUGUGACAGACAGGCUGAGGUUACGUGCUCUGUUCUGUGUCCUCCACCAAGCUUUGUUUCCAAGUCCUUUAUUCUGCAUGGAGAGAUCUUCCCCACGCCUCGACAAAAAGAGAAGGCCGCGAGCUGCGGUCUCAAGACUGACACAUUUUGGUUUUCAUAGUUGAGCCUUUUGAGCAAAACCCAUAGGAGUAAAAAGAUUUCAAAAACUGUAGGGUUAUAAAUCUGAUCCCUGGGAGCCUCUUGAAUGGGAAGCUUGCGAGGGAGGAGGAGGUUGUGUGGUACCACGGCUCACUCAGCGUCACACAGCUCCAUCUCAGAGGUGUUCAGAAGGGCUCGGACUUGCCAAGUAGAUGCUGAUCUGCCCUCUUUCAAUAACAAGUCCAGCAUUUCAGCACGCAUAAAGGUUUUUAAGGUCCUUAGGUGCCUAAAGGCAUGGCUGCUCCUGAAAACCAGAUUUUGAAGGUUAAAAAUUUGCUUGGGUAAAUAAGUGCGUGCAAGGUGAAGCUGUCUCUCAGUGCUGGACUGGGACCUGGCGAGUGGGAGGGAAGAAGGACCCUAAACGGGGUUGGGUCAGGUACUCAGGAGCUUGUGGUGCAGGAUGAUACAGCACAAGCCAUUCCUCCUGCUGUCUUGUGCCACUGAGCCAGCGCUUCAGGGCUAGCAUUUUGCUACAGAGUCGGUCAGCAGCAAACUGUGAGCUGCUGCUACCCCACACCUUGCUGAGAGCAAAGCAUGAAGUCCUGGAGUGAGAAAACAGAUUGUUGCUCUCGUCUUCACAUUUCUGUGCACAGAAAGCACCUUGGGCAGGGAACAUCAGGCCACAGCCUGGCUUACAGUGCUGUAGGAUGGGGCUCUCUGUUUUUAAAUGGAACUAGAGGAGAAAAGCUGAUGAGGCUUAGAUCAACUGGAGCGAAAGCAACUUUUUAUUAUGAUAGCCUGUAAUCACAACAGGGCUGCUUCACAGUAAGUCUAAUCUGGAUCGAUUGGGGUGGUGACAUCCAUCUCGUGGUUCACUUCAACAUCAAUCUGGCCCCUGCCUGUCACAGUAAUUGUCUCUUAUCACUCUUGGAGAUGGUGUUUCCCGGGAGCAAACUCCUGUUACUUUUCAUUACCAAGGUUGGGAAACAAGGCUCAGCAACAGGGAGUGGCACUGUCUUCACCAAUUUUUAUUUUUCUUUUAUUUGGAUCCAAACAAAGUCUUGUCAGUAAGUAGUACUAGCCAGCCUGCUACCCUCUGCAACACUUGUCACUACAGCAUCUGUGGCUUUCCAGCAAAGCACGAGACAACAUUAACAGACAGCUGUCACAGUCUGGUCCGAGCUGACCUGUGCCUUGUUCUGGCUGUUGGCUCUGCCUGACAUCCUUAUAAUAGCUGCAUUAUAACAGCGUGCUCCAAAACAAAACAAGCACCUACUUUCCCCAGUGGUUAGAAUUCUGAUUUGUGAUUCUAAAUUUAUUCUUUAUUUCCUU